AGUGAACGCUGGCGGUAGGCCUAACACAUGCAAGUCGAACGGCAGCACAGUAAGAGCUUGCUCUUACGGGUGGCGAGUGGCGGACGGGUGAGGAAUACAUCGUAAUCUACUUUUUCGUGGGGGAUAACGUAGGGAAACUUACGCUAAUACCGCAUACGACCUACGGUUGAAAGCAGGGGAUCUUCGGACCUUGCGCGAUUGAAUGAGCCGAUGUCGGAUUAGCUAGUUGGCGGGGUAAAGGCCCACCAAGGCGACGAUCCGUAGCUGGUCUGAGAGGAUGAUCAGCCACACUGGAACUGAGACACGGUCCAGACUCCUACGGGAGGCAGCAGUGGGGAAUAUUGGACAAUGGGCGCAAGCCUGAUCCAGCCAUACCGAGUGGGUGAAGAAGGCCUUCGGGUUGUAAAGCCCUUUUGUUGGGAAAGAAAAGCAGCAGGUUAAUACCCCGCUGUUCUGACGGUACCCAAAGAAUAAGCACCGGCUAACUUCGUG
rnacentral:rRNA from 1 species